AAGAGAAAUAGGCAAAUAAAAACUCAGAUUUCUAGAAAAGUGUUUGCAUGUUUCUCAUUCUUAGGCAAAGCUUUGUAUAGAUUUUUUUUUUCCUUUUAAUGACUGAACUUGACAUCUUUAAAUUGUAAAAGACUCACAAUGCUCAACAUUGAAACUUACUGAAAACUUGCAUCAUACCAUGCUGUACAUGGCAGCACUUCUUGAAUUUGAAGUCAACAAAACUAGGGCAUGUCUACAUUGCAAUCCAGCUGGAGCUAAAACUUCUGUAGUUACAGCCAAAGUAAUUUUAACCUGUGCACAACAAGGAAUUUGAUGUAGGCUUCAAACCCCUCCUAACAGGUAAAUAUCCCUCCCACACAGUACUCUGUGCUUUUUAAAAGUACACUGCUAACAUUCUUCAACUAAUAGUUUAAAAUUAAAUCCAUGUAAUCAGAUGUUUUUUUCCAAAAGAAAUACUGUUUUGCUCUUGGACAGCUAAGAAAUGGACUGACAAAACAAGCUGUGUAGGAACAGUCUGUUCUCAUACUUCCUAUUCCCCAGAUCAUUCACAAGGAACUUCCUCUGGACUUCCACAAGCAUCAAGCAUGCAAACAGCCUGAGGAUCAAGCUGACAGGAGAAACCAUUAUUCCCAGUAGUUACAAGAGGAAAAGAAUAAUAUGAAGGAUAAGGACCUAGAGCUAAGAGUGGAGAAAUGGAUGGGAAAACCCAUUUCUAACAGUCAUGAAGCAAGAAUAAAUGUACUAACCAUGGAAGGAAACUUACCUGCUCCCAUUUCAUUUCCAACCCUUGGAAUAAUAUCAUCAUCUUGACAGUCUGAUCUCCAUUAUUUGGUUUUACAACCUUAAUUUGCUACCUCCAGAGCAGAAGCUUCUCAGGUGGGAGCCCCUGGAAGCUGUGUUGCAUUACUGAGCCCCUUAUCCUGUGAGCCCAACAUUCACUACAACAGAGGAGGCCCUGCAAGGCCUCAUGUUCCCUAGCACCAGUCUGGUGACAAAUCAGGCUGUAGCACUCAAGUGUGCUGGCCCACGUUGCCUUAGGUGCUCCAUUUUUGCUCACUGGACCUCCUUUCACUGAAGGAGUUUACAGAAUUCAGCCGUCAGCCUUGAGAAGUGCUGAAGCAGAAAGCAACUGUUUCUUUGCUGCAACAUUAAUCACAUAUGUUCACUGAUAGUUUUUGGUGCAAGUAAACAGAGAUAGCCACCUGGUGGAGCUGAUUGAGGAAGUUUGAUACAUUUAUUUGUAUAAAUAUAAAAGCAUACAUCCAUAAAAUAACUUGAUAGAUAAAAAUAGCAGCUAAAAGAUUUCAUGACAAACCAAAUGAGAUGUUUGAUAUACCUUGAAGUUGCUCUUUUUCCCUUACUUGCAGAGU